rnacentral:tRNA from 1 species
AAGGCCUUAAGUUAAAAAAACUAAUAACCUUCAAAGCUAUAAAUAAAGAAAUUCUCUUUAGACCUUA